rnacentral:rRNA from 1 species
UACGGAGGAUCCAAGCGUUGUCCGGAUUUAUUGGGUUUAAAGGGUGCGUAGGCGGAUCUUUAAGUCAGUGGUGAAAGCCUGCAGCUUAACUGUAGAACAGCCAUUGAAACUGAAGAUCUUGAAUUAGGUUAAAGUAGGCGGAAUGUAUCAUGUAGCGGUGAAAUGCUUAGAUAUGAUACAGAACACCGAUAGCGAAGGCAGCUUGCUGAACCUACAUUGACGCUGAGGCACGAAAGCGUGGGGAGCGAACAGG